AUACCUUUCUUGGCCUUUUGGCUAAGAUCAGGUGUAGUAUGUGUUCAUAUCAGCUGAAUCUCUGAUAUGUGUUCCAUUGACCCACAUGAUAUCAGCCAUUCUAA
rfam:Nicotiana sylvestris Nsyl_contig51575, whole genome shotgun sequence.